rnacentral:rRNA from 1 species
AAUGGGCGAAAGCCUGACGCAGCGACGCCGCGUGAGUGAUGAAGGCCCUCGGGUUGUAAAGCUCUGUGGAGAGAGACGAAUAAGGGUUGGCUAAUAUCCAACUCGAUGACGGUAUCUUUUUAGCAAGCACCGGCUAACUCUGUGCCAGCAGCCGCGGUAAGACAGAGGGUGCAAACGUUGUUCGGAAUUACUGGGCGUAAAGCGCGUGUAGGCUGCGAUGCAAGUCGGAUGUGAAAGCCCUGGGCUCAACCUAGGAAGUGCAUUCGAAACUGCGUUGCUUGAGUUCUGGAGAGGAAGGCGGAAUUCUCGGUGUAGAGGUGAAAUUCGUAGAUAUCGAGAGGAACACCGGUGGCGAAGGCGGCCUUCUGGACAGCAACUGACGCUGAGACGCGAAAGCGUGGGGAGCAAA